CAGUAGCCGCGGUAACACGGAGGGUGCAAGCGUUAAUCGGAAUUACUGGGCGUAAAGCGCACGCAGGCGGUCUGACAAGUCAGAUGUGAAAUCCCCGGGCUUAACCUGGGAACUGCAUUUGAAACUGUCAGGCUGGAGUCUUGUAGAGGGGGGUGGAAUUCCAGGUGUAGCGGUGAAAUGCGUAGAGAUCUGGAGGAAUACCGGUGGCGAAGGCGGCCCCCUGGACAAAGACUGACGCUCAGGUGCGAAAGCGUGGGGAGCAAACAGGAUUAGAGACCCCGGUAGUCCCUGUCUCUUAUAC
rnacentral:rRNA from 1 species